rnacentral:rRNA from 1 species
UGACACUGAACAUUGAGCCUUGAUGUGUAGGAUAGGUGGGAGGCUUUGAAGUGUGGACGCCAGUCUGCAUGGAGCCGACCUUGAAAUACCACCCUUUAAUGUUUGAUGUUCUAACGUGGACCCGUGAUCCGGGUUGCGGACAGUGUCUGGUGGGUAGUUUGACUGGGGCGGUCUCCUCCUAAAGAGUAACGGAGGAGCACGAAGGUUGGCUAAUCCUGGUCGGACAUCAGGAGGUUAGUGCAAUGGCAUAAGCCAGCUUGACUGCGAGCGUGACGGCGCGAGCAGGUGCGAAAGCAGGUCAUAGUGAUCCGGUGGUUCUGAAUGGAAGGGCCAUCGCUCAACGGAUAAAAGGUACUCCGGGGAUAACAGGCUGAUACCGCCCAAGAGUUCAUAUCGACGGCGGUGUUUGGCACCUCGAUGUCGGCUCAUCACAUCCUGGGGCUGAAGUAGGUCCCAAGGGUAUGGCUGUUCGCCAUUUAAAGUGGUACGCGAGCUGGGUUUAGAACGUCGUGAGACAGUUCGGUCCCUAUCUGCCGUGGGCGCUGGAGAACUGAGGGGGGCUGCUCCUAGUACGAGAGGACCGGAGUGGACGCAUCACUGGUGUUCGGGUUGUCAUGCCAAUGGCACUGCCCGGUAGCUAAAUGCGGAAGAGAUAAGUGCUGAAAGCAUCUAAGCACGAAACUUGCCCCGAGAUGAGUUCUCCCUGAGACUUAGAGUCUCCUGAAGGAACGUUGAAGACGACGACGUUGAUAGGCCGGGUGUGUAAGCGCAGCGAUGCGUUGAGCUAACCGGUACUAAUGAACCGUGAGGCUUAACCUUACA